rnacentral:rRNA from 1 species
CAGGGGGGGUGCCUAUACAUGCAGUAGAACGCUGAAGAGAGGAGCUUGCUCUUCUUGGAUGAGUUGCGAACGGGUGAGUAACGCGUAGGUAACCUGCCUUGUAGCGGGGGAUAACUAUUGGAAACGAUAGCUAAUACCGCAUAACAAUGGAUGACACAUGUCAUUUAUUUGAAAGGGGCAAUUGCUCCACUACAAGAUGGACCUGCGUUGUAUUAGCUAGUAGGUGAGGUAACGGCUCACCUAGGCGACGAUACAUAGCCGACCUGAGAGGGUGAUCGGCCACACUGGGACUGAGACACGGCCCAGACUCCUACGGGAGGCAGCAGUAGGGAAUCUUCGGCAAUGGGGGCAACCCUGACCGAGCAACGCCGCGUGAGUGAAGAAGGUUUUCGGAUCGUAAAGCUCUGUUGUAAGUCAAGAACGAGUGUGAGAGUGGAAAGUUCACACUGUGACGGUAGCUUACCAGAAAGGGACGGCUAACUACGUGCCAGCAGCCGCGGUAAUACGUAGGUCCCGAGCGUUGUCCGGAUUUAUUGGGCGUAAAGCGAGCGCAGGCGGUUUGAUAAGUCUGAAGUUAAAGGCUGUGGCUCAACCAUAGUUCGCUUUGGAAACUGUCAAACUUGAGUGCAGAAGGGGAGAGUGGAAUUCCAUGUGUAGCGGUGAAAUGCGUAGAUAUAUGGAGGAACACCGGUGGCGAAAGCGGCUCUCUGGUCUGUAACUGACGCUGAGGCUCGAAAGCGUGGGGAGCGAACAGGAUUAGAUACCCUGGUAGUCCACGCCGUAAACGAUGAGUGCUAGGUGUUGGAUCCUUUCCGGGAUUCAGUGCCGCAGCUAACGCAUUAAGCACUCCGCCUGGGGAGUACGACCGCAAGGUUGAAACUCAAAGGAAUUGACGGGGGCCCGCACAAGCGGUGGAGCAUGUGGUUUAAUUCGAAGCAACGCGAAGAACCUUACCAGGUCUUGACAUCCCGAUGCUAUUUCUAGAGAUAGAAAGUUACUUCGGUACAUCGGUGACAGGUGGUGCAUGGUUGUCGUCAGCUCGUGUCGUGAGAUGUUGGGUUAAGUCCCGCAACGAGCGCAACCCCUAUUGUUAGUUGCCAUCAUUCAGUUGGGCACUCUAGCGAGACUGCCGGUAAUAAACCGGAGGAAGGUGGGGAUGACGUCAAAUCAUCAUGCCCCUUAUGACCUGGGCUACACACGUGCUACAAUGGUUGGUACAACGAGUUGCGAGUCGGUGACGGCAAGCUAAUCUCUUAAAGCCAAUCUCAGUUCGGAUUGUAGGCUGCAACUCGCCUACAUGAAGUCGGAAUCGCUAGUAAUCGCGGAUCAGCACGCCGCGGUGAAUACGUUCCCGGGCCUUGUACACACCGCCCGUCACACCACGAGAGUUUGUAACACCCGAAGUCGGUGAGGUAACCUUUGGAGCCAGCCGCUAAAGGUGAAAGAAGGG